rnacentral:tRNA from 1 species
GUAGCUCACUGGUAGAGCACCUGCUUAGCAUGUAGGAGGCCCUGGUUUCCAUCCCCAGC